CUCUACAGUGCCUCGCACUCUCUCCUACGGAAUGAUCAUCCCCCCAACCCACCUCUCUCCCCCAUUAAUCUUGCUACAGUGUCGCGGCACCCAGCAAAAAUCUAAACCCCCCUCCCCCUUCCGAACCACUCCUGCCGCGUUCCCGGAUGGGUGCCUGCUCAUGCUGUAGCCUCGCACCGUAUGCGUUGGUUUAGUGCCACGGAAUGUACAGAUCGCGCUAAUGGAAUGUGCAGCUAAUGUUGGUUUAGUAACCGCCUCUGCCAACGACAACGACAAGCCAGGUUUUUCUUCUCCUUCUUCUUCUUCUUCUUCUUCUUUGUCUUCGCCUCCUUCUCCGUCGGGUUUUGUCCUCAAUCCCUCACCACUGGAGCCGAUUUAGAGCGACGGAGCCCUUCUUUCGCACCCUCCCAGUCAGAGAAUUCGUCGUAAUCGUCGCAGCCACUGUUGGUUUGUUUGUUUGUGUUGUGUUUUUUGUUUUGUUUCGCAAGGAAACGUAAUCCUAUCAUCCUCGGCACCCAUCUUUGCAGACCCUACUGUAUCCCACAUGCUCAAUGUUGUGGCUACGAUUACUUACCAUCCAAUUUGGAUUGGAUGAUGCCGCUCAAUCACCCAAUCAAUCAAUCUAUCAAUCUAUCAAUCCCACUGUAAUCUCGGUUUGCUGCUUCUUCAUCAGAUUCUUCGCUUGCUAGAUUUACCGCGGAUACGAAUAAGAAGAAGAAGAUGGUUCAGCAACUGGGCACAAGAUUUACUGACUUACUGUGGGUUAUAAUAUAAAUAAGGGGUUGCAGUGAGAUUUAAUACUCAGAUAGUUGACUUUUGCAAUGACUGGUUGAUGAGUUCAUUAAAUCUGUACUUGGCAAUGGAACUGUAAAUGGGCUCUCUCUCUCUCUCUCUCUCUCUCUCUAUCUUGGUAUAGAUAGAUAGAUAUACACAGAAUUUAGAAAACAAACAAAGAAUAGCCGUAACAACAAAAUUACGAGGCUAUGAAUAGGUUAGCUUUAAUGAGUAUGUUGACUUUUAUAAUAAUAAAAAAAUAAACAAACUUUG
rnacentral:lncRNA from 1 species